AACAACUUGGGUUGGAGCCUUGGAGGGACUCCAAUCCAUCAACUCCUUCAGUCCUUCAGUCCUUCGCCAGUUCGCCCGACGCCGCCACCACCAUCCACGCCGUCCUUGCUGUCCACGUCGGCGCCGCACCGUCCCCUCCCCUCCUCCGCGUCGUCCAUUCCCCGCCAUCCGCACCGGCGCAGCGCCAUCCCCUCUCCUCCGUCCGCGUCGGCACCGCGAGUCCGCGCCAUCCCCUCUCCGGCGUCCCCGCCGUCCGCGGGGCCGGGCCAUGCCGUCGUCCGCCCUGUAGCCACGCUGUGCCGGGUCCUGCACUCCUGCGUCCGUCGUCCACACCGGUGCCGCGCCAAGACGGGGGCCGCCUCGCCGGACUCUAGCCACGGGCCGCCGGCCGCCGGCCGCUCGCCUUCUCCUCCUGCUCACAGCUCUCCUGCUCCACGUCUCCACCGAUCCGGCGCGGGCGGUCCACCCUUCAGCCCAGGAUUAGUAAAACAUGAAGAGGAGUGGAAAUAUCGAGUCGUUAUUUCGGAAACAUGAAGCUAUGAAGAUUGCAGCCUCUUCUUGUUCUUCGAAUGGCUUCAUUGGUACAAAGAAUAUAUAUAUUUUCACUAAAUUUCUAUCACAUUUUCACUAAAUUUGUAUUUGUAUAUUGGCUUUAUGGUACAAAAAAUUUUACCACGUGACAUGAACGUGUGAACUAGGACUACCCGAGGAGAAAUCCCUGGCUACGCCGAUACAGAGAGUGUUAGAUUAAUGGGCUAGGCCCAAUUAAAUCCUAAUAAAUUCCAUUGGCCCACAUUAAGUGCUAUGGGUAAUAAUACUACCUUGGAAAUC